GUGCUCACUUCAGCAGCACAUAUACUAAAAUUGGAACGAUACAGAGAAGAUUAGCAUGGCCCCCGUUAUUUGAAAAUAUAUUUUUUAAAAAAAGUUUGU
rnacentral:snRNA from 1 species